rnacentral:siRNA from 1 species
CUGAGGAAGCUGAACAUAGAGUC